GACGUAGGGCGCGAGCGUUGUCCGGAUUUAUUGGGCGUAAAGAGCUCGUAGGCGGUGUGUCGCGUCGGCUGUGAAAACCUGCAGCUCAACUGUGGGCUUGCGGUCGAUACGGGCAUCACUGGAGUUCGGCAGGGGAGACUGGAAUUCCUGGUGUAGCGGUGAAAUGCGCAGAUAUCAGGAGGAACACCGGUGGCGAAGGCGGGUCUCUGGGCCGAUACUGACGCUGAGGAGCGAAAGCGUGGGGAGCGAACAGG
rnacentral:rRNA from 1 species